rnacentral:lncRNA from 1 species
AAUGCUAGACAUUAUGAAGCAUAAAGGUUUUGGAUCAUGAUGGAUCACAUGGAUGAAACAAAUCUUCUCUUCAGGGACCUCUUCUAUCUUACUGAAUGGAGUUCCAGGAAAAAGAUUUUCUUGUAAAAGGGGAGUUAGACAGGGAGAUCCUCUAUCUCCACUUCUUUUUGUUCUUGGGGCAGAUCUGCUACAGUCAGUCCUCAACAAUGCGAAGGAACAGGGACAUCUGCAACUACCAAUUCAGAUUAAUCAUAAUCAGGACUUUCCAAUUAUACAAUAUGCUGAUGACACUCUUAUUAUUAUGGAUGGAUGCCCAUUGCAACUGCUUCACCUGAAAAACCUUUUACAGUCCUUUGCCACCUCAACUGGGCUUAAGGUAAACUUCAACAAAUCCAUGAUGGUGCCAAUCAAUAUCUCAGAGGAAAGGAUACAACAGUUAGCUCAGACUUUUGGCUGCUCAAUAGGGAAAAUGCCCUUCACAUACUUAGGACUACCACUGGGUUUGACAAAGCCAAGAUUUGAGGAAUUUCUCCCUAUGGUGAGUCGGUGUGAAAGAAGAUUAUUGUCCACUUCAAAUCUACUUUCUAAAGCGGGGAGAUUACAACUAACAAAUUCAAUUUUCUCUGCCUUGCCGAUGUUUCAUAUGAGUACCUUACUGCUACCUAAGUCAGUAUAUAAACAAGUGAAUAAAUAUAGAAAGCACUGUUUUUGGAGAGGCUCGGAUAUCAAUAACAAAAAACCGCCUAAAGCUGCAUGGGACAUGGUGACUUUACCAAAAAAGGAAGGUGGUCUAGGUGUUCUGAAUUUGCAGACACAAAAUGAAGCUCUGCUGCUCAAAUUCUUACAUAAAUUUUAUAAUAAAGCAGAUAUCCCGUGGGUCCAUCUAGUAUGGGAAAAAUACUAUAGAAAUGGUAAACUGCCAGGCUCUAUAUCUAAAGGCUCCUUCUGGUGGCGGGACAUCAUUAAACUCUUGGACAAAUUCAAAGGAAUAGCCUCAGUGUCUGUGAAGGAUAGCAGUACCUGCCUUUUAUGGCAUGAUCUAUGGAAUAAUCAGGUGCCAGCACAAGUGUACCCACAUCUGUUUUCUUUUACUCGGGAUAAACACUUAUCUUUGAAGCGAGCUUACUCGAUCACGGACUUGCAGCAUCUCUUCUUCCUGCCCUUGACGUCACAAGCCUAUAAUCAAUUGGUUCAUCUUGCUGAAGACCUAGAAAGUUUAGACCUCUCGACUGAUCCAGACUCUUGGAUAUAUAUCUGGGGUAAUGCAAUUUUCUCUUCAUCAAAGGCAUAUAAGUCUCUCAUUGGACAUAGAAACACUCAUCCAGUAUAUGAUUGGCUAUGGAAGUCCCGGUGUCAAAAGAAACACAAAGUCUUCUUUUGGUUGGUUUUGAAAGAUAGACUUAGUACACGGGAUAUCAUGCGGCGCAAACAUAUGGUUAUGCCCUCAUAUAACUGUGUCCUCUACUCCCACAACAAAAUUGAGACACUCUUCCACCUCCUGCUUGAAUGCCCUUUUGCUCAAGAAUGUUGGAUUCAUCUAGGCCUUUAUGCCGAC